CCUACGGGGGGCUGCAGUGGGGAAUAUUGCACAAUGGGGGAAACCCUGAUGCAGCGACGCCGCGUGAGUGAAGAAGUAUCUCGGUACGUAAAGCUCUAUCAGCAGGGAAGAAAAUGACGGUACCUGACUAAGAAGCUCCGGCUAACUACGUGCCAGCAGCCGCGGGAAUACGUAGGGGGCAAGCGUUAUCCGGAUUUACUGGGUGUAAAGGGAGCGUAGACGGCAGCACAAGUCUGGAGUGAAAUCCUGGGGCUUAACCCCGGAACUGCUUUGGAAACUGUGCGGCUGGAGUGCAGGAGGGGUAAGCGGAAUUCCUAGUGUAGCGGUGAAAUGCGUAGAUAUUAGGAGGAACACCGGUGGCGAAGGCGGCUUACUGGACUGUAACUGACGUUGAGGCUCGAAAGCGUGGGGAGCAAACAGGAUUAGAUACCCCAGUAGUC
rnacentral:rRNA from 1 species